CUCCACCCACUGUGCACCUGCCGGGCAGAGACCGCAGCUCGCCCUGGGGUCCAAGCCAGGUGUGAGGCAAGUCCUGGAAGGACAGCAGACCUGGAACGGCCGCGUGCAUGCCUCCACUGCCUGGCCCCUCCCGAGAGUGCAGGCCCCGUGCCUGGAACAAGACGAAGACCUUACUGAUGGCAGAGGAUGAGCCUCCAGGCACCGUCCCCAAGCCGCUGGUGUUCCGCGCAGACGAGACCACGCCGGAGGUGGUGCGCAGCGUGCUGCUGGAGCGGGGCUGGGAGGCGUUCGGCGAGCACGCGCGGGGCGUGGAUGACUGGGACCUGUACUGGAGGGCGUCCUCUUUCCGAAUGGCCCAGCACGUCAACGUGAAGCCAUGGCAGUGGCUGAACCACCACCCGGGGACGGCCACGCUCACCAGGAAGGACCGCCUGGCCAGACAGCUGCAGCACAUGGGCAGGACCUACGGCUCUGCCCUCUACGCCUUCGCGCCGCCCACCUUCGUCCUGCCCUGCGACUACACCAAGUUCCUGGCCACCUACUUCAGCGAGGAGCAGGUGCUGGGCGCCAGGCGCGGCUACUGGAUCUGCAAGCCCUCCGAGUCAUCUCGCGGGAGGGGCAUCAGCAUUUUUAGUGACAUUAAGGACUUGAUCUUUGGCGACACGUACGUAGUGCAGAGAUACAUCUGCAACCCUCUGCUCGUGGGCAGGUACAAGUGUGACCUCCGCGUCUACGUCUGCGUCACCGGCUUCAAGCCGCUGACCAUCUACGUGUACCAGGAGGGCUUGGCGCGCUUCGCCACCGAGAAGUUCGACCUGAGCGACCCGCAGAACUGCUACGCCCACCUGACCAACUGCAGCGUCAACAAGGCCGGCACGUCCUACCAGGAGGUCAAGGAGGUGGUGGGCCGCGGCUGCAAGUGGACCCUCGGCAGGUUCUUCUCCUACCUCCGCAGCUGGGACGUGGACGACCUGCUUCUGUGGCAGAAGAUCAACCGCCUGGUUAUUCUCACGGUCCUCGCCAUCGCCUCAGCCGUCCCCUUUGCCGCCAACUGCUUUGAGCUCUUCGGGUUUGACAUUCUGAUCGACGACAACUUGAAGCCCUGGCUGUUAGAAGUCAACUACAGCCCCGCCCUGUCCCUGGAUUGUCCGGUGGACGUGGUGGUGAAGAGGAGACUUGUCCACGACAUCAUCGACUUGGUUUAUCUGACGGGUCUAAGAAACGAGAGGACGCCGGUCAGCAAAGCUGCAAAUGGGCGCUCCAGUGGCCCCUUCACGAGGGGUGACAGAGGCAGGCGCGGCGGGGCAGGCCGUUCCCUUCCGUGCAAGUCUCUCUUACAAUUCCCGGGUAAAACGUGCGGUGAGCAGGACUCCGCUGCAGAGGAGGGUGUGCGGGCGUGCCCUAAGGCCACACCUUCCUGCCAGCCCAGAGCAAGAGCCAGGCAGGAGGGCUCACUCCUGCCAGCAGGGGAGUCAGCCAGAGUCAAACCCGGGCUGCGCAGCCGGCUCCCCGCCCGCUCCCGCUCGGCGCUGGGCCCCUGCGUCUCGCUCGUUGGCUCGUGGACCUGCCCAGCGGAGGUUUCCCCGUGUGACCCAGCACACAGCACCAAGACCACGGCUCCGCAUCCCGGGACAGGCAAUUUUGUUCUCAUUUUCCCUUUCAACGAAGCUACUUUAGGAGCAUCUAAGGAUGAAUUAAAUGUCAAAAGAAUAACCCAAGAGCUCCAGAAACUGAUGAAUAAGCAACGUUCCCAAGCCACGGGAAAUAAAACCCAGAGAAGGUGGCCUGGAGCGUGGGAUACGAGGACUGACAGCCCACUGAGAGCAAGUUCUGGAGCCAGCCUGUGCCCCAGCCUCCGAGCUGCACCAGGGGCUCCGGCGUGUCCGCGUGCAGAAAUACAGUUCCCACCAGGAGCACCUGCUCGGAGCUGAUGAACUCGUGUGCCGCCACGUGCUCAUUGCUCAGGCCCGGGACGCUCGCCCAGCCCCUGCCCCGCACGCAGUCCGACCCGCUGUACUCCCAGCAUGCUCGGCAUUUACUCACACAUGAGAGACCCCAACCGCGUAAGGAUUCUUAGAUGUACAGAGACAAACGCAAGGCUACAUGGGUGACCAACGGGCAGGCAGAAAUGGCGGUGUCGAAGGGAACUACUAAGUGUGUCAGGACCUUCUUGAAGUUCACGGACAAUGUAUAUUAUGAAGAAACUAUGUGUGCAUUUCAAAAAAAUUGCAUCAGAAUAAUUCUACUUUAAUUUUAUGUUUCUAAGAGCUAUUUGAAGUCACCUCCAUAUAAACCACUUCAAGGAAACUGAAAUAUAUUAAUUGCCUAAAACAGAAGUCAAACUAAUCAUCUUAAAGAAGCUUGUUAGGAUGUUUAAAAAGAAUGCAAAUGGACAACAGAUAUAUAAACAAAACUGGAAAUAUAAUCUAAAAAUGCAAAUAGU